rnacentral:rRNA from 1 species
AUUGAACGCUGGCGGCGUGCUUAACACAUGCAAGUCGAGCGAUGAAGCUCCUUCGGGAGUGGAUUAGCGGCGGACGGGUGAGUAACACGUGGGUAACCUGCCUCAUAGAGGGGAAUAGCCUUUCGAAAGGAAGAUUAAUACCGCAUAAGAUUGUAGCUUCGCAUGAAGCAGCAAUUAAAGGAGUAAUCCGCUAUGAGAUGGACCCGCGUCGCAUUAGCUAGUUGGUGAGGUAACGGCUCACCAAGGCGACGAUGCGUAGCCGACCGGAGAGGGUGAUCGGCCACAUUGGGACUGAGACACGGCCCAGACUCCUACGGGAGGCAGCAGUGGGGAAUAUUGCACAGUGGGGGAAACCCUGAUGCAGCAACGCCGCGUGAGUGAUGACGGUCUUCGGAUUGUAAAGCUCUGUCUUCAGGGACGAUAAUGACGGUACCUGAGGAGGAAGCCACGGCUAACUACGUGCCAGCAGCCGCAGUAA